CUUGGGAGCUGAUCCUGCAUUGGGCUGCGCAAGGGGAAACCCCUGCGUGAACACCUGUCAAAUUCGGGGAAGCCUCUGGCGUGGUAAUCCCGAGCCAAGCCUCGAAAGCUGUUUUCGAGGAAGGUGUAGAGACUUAAUGGCAGGCACCCUAACGGCGACUUCGGUCGGCCGAGGGUGAAGAGAAAGUCCAGUCCACGAA
rnacentral:ncRNA from 1 species